rfam:Avian leukosis virus envelope protein (env) gene, partial cds.
UGUGACGGGGCAAGGCUUGCCUGAGGGGACCAUACUAUGUAUAGGCGCUGGGCGGGGCUUCGGUUGUACGCGGAUAGGAAUCCCCUCAGG